rnacentral:misc_RNA from 1 species
CGCACAUCCAAUCAUAUUCACAGCUAUACCAUCAUAACCACAGCUCAAGAAUCACACAUACAAUCUUGGUUCCAAAAAAGACAGAUUCACCCAAUAAAACUAUGGCAAUAGGGCAAUCAGGUGAUGAAGAUGACUGAGGGAUCACAGCAGCACUCAUCGAUCAGGCAGCAACAACACAAGGCGGCGAGGCAUCCCUCAAGAAAGCCGGUAUUCUUUCUUGGCGGCGGCGGGGCAGCAUAGUACUGCGGCGGCGCCAUCACCGGAGGCCCUUGGUAGUACCCUUGAGCAGGAUAGGCAUAUUGGG